rnacentral:rRNA from 1 species
AAACCAACAGGGAUUGCCCUAGUAACGGCGAGUGAAGCGGCAACAGCUCAAAUUUGAAAUCUGGCUCUUUUAGAGUCCGAGUUGUAAUUUGCAGAGGGCGCUUUGGCGUUGGCAGCGGUCCAAGUUCUUUGGAACAGGACGUCACAGAGGGUGAGAAUCCCGUACGUGGUCGCUAGCCUUCGCCGUGUAAAGCCCCUUCGACGAGUCGAGUUGUUUGGGAAUGCAGCUCUAAAUGGGAGGUAAAUUUCUUCUAAAGCUAAAUACUGGCCAGAGACCGAUAGCGCACAAGUAGAGUGAUCGAAAGAUGAAAAGCACUUUGGAAAGAGAGUCAAAUAGCACGUGAAAUUGUUGAAAGGGAAGCGCUUGCAGCCAGACUUGCCUGUAGUUGCUUAUCCGGACUUUUGUCCGGUGCACUCUUCUGCGGGCAGGCCAGCAUCAGUUUAGGCGGUUGGAUAAAGGUCUCUGUCAUGUACCUCUCUUCGGGGAGGCCUUAUAGGGAGACGACAUGCAAACAGCCUGGACUGAGGUCCGCGCAUCUGCUAGGAUGCUGGCGUAAUGGCUGUAAGCGGC